UACAGAGGGGGCAAGCGUUAUUCGGAAUUAUUGGGCGUAAAGGGCGCGUAGGCGGCUUGGCAAGUGGAAGGUGAAAUCCCUUGGCUUAACCGAGGAACUGCCUUCCAGACUGCUUUGCUUGAGGCCGGGAGAGGCGAGUGGAAUUCCCAGUGUAGCGGUGAAAUGCGUAGAUAUUGGGAGGAACACCAGUGGCGAAGGCGGCUCGCUGGACCGGUUCUGACGCUGAGGCGCGAAAGCGUGGGGAGCAAACAGG
rnacentral:rRNA from 1 species